AGUGAACGCUGGCGGCGUGCCUAAUACAUGCAAGUCGAACGGACAAGUAAGAGCUUGCUCUUAUGAGUUAGUGGCGCACGGGUGAGUAAUGUAUAGCUAAUCUGCCCUACACUAGAGGACAACAGUUGGAAACGGCUGCUAAUACUCUAUACUCCUGUCUUACAUAAGUUAGAUAGGGAAAGUUUUUCGGUGUAGGAUGAGGCUAUAUUGUAUCAGCUAGUUGGUGAGGUAAUGGCUCACCAAGGCUAUGACGCAUAACUGGUCUGAGAGGAUGAUCAGUCACACUGGAACUGAGACACGGUCCAGACUCCUACGGGAGGCAGCAGUAGGGAAUAUUGCUCAAUGGGGGAAACCCUGAAGCAGCAACGCCGCGUGGAGGAUGACACUUUUCGGAGCGUAAACUCCUUUUGUUAGGGAAGA
rnacentral:rRNA from 1 species